rnacentral:rRNA from 1 species
ACUCCUACGGGAGGCAGCAGUGGGGAAUAUUGCACAAUGGGCGCAAGCCUGAUGCAGCCAUGCCGCGUGUAUGAAGAAGGCCUUCGGUUGUAAGUACUUUCAGUCGUGAGGAAGGCGGCGUCGUUAAUAGCGGCGUUGUUUUGACGUUAGCGACAGAAGAAGCACCGGCUAACUCCGUGCCAGCAGCCGCGGUAAUACGGAGGUGCGAGCGUUAAUCGGAAUUACUGGGCGUAAAGCGCAUGCAGGUGGUUUGUUAAGUCAGAUGUGAAAGCCCGGGGCUCAACCUCGGAAUUGCAUUUGAAACUGGCAGACUAGAGUACUGUAGAGGGGGUAGAAUUUCAGGUGUAGCGGUGAAAUGCGUAGAGAUCUGAAGGAAUACCGGUGGCGAAGGCGGCCCCUGGACAGAUACUGACACUCAGAUGCGAAAGCGUGGGAGCAACAGGAUUAGAUACCCUGGUAGGACAGUG